rnacentral:RNase_P_RNA from 1 species
CCGGAAUGCCGGAUGGCUACGAUUCCGCUUCGGCGGGAUUGAGGAAAGUCCGAACACCUCGCUUGUCGUAAGGCAGGCGAAAAGAGGAGUGUCGCUAACGGCGACCGGGAAGAAAGAUCGGAGAUCGAGGCGUUGGAGCAAUUCGCGCUUUGGCAGCUGAUCUCAAGCCCAGGGAAAGUGCCACAGAGACAAUACUAGCUCCGCUUCGGCGGGGUGAAAGGUGAAAAGUGACGCGGGGUCCGCAAGGGCUACGCGUUUCGUCCCGCGGCGACGCGGAGACGUGGUAAACCCACUCCGGUGCAAGAGCAAGUUUGGUAGCUCGCUAGAGUCCCGCAGCAAUGCGGGAACCAGAUAGAUUGCCAUCUCCUCCGGGCAACCGGGGCAGACAGAAUUCGGCUUACAGACAUUCCAGAGAC